rnacentral:rRNA from 1 species
UACAGAGGGGGCAAGCGUUAUUCGGAAUUAUUGGGCGUAAAGGGCGCGUAGGCGGCUUUGCAAGUGACGGGUGAAAUCCCUCGGCUUAACCGGGGAACUGCGUCUGAUACUGGAUGGCUAGAGGUUGGGAGAGGGAUGCGGAAUUCCAGGUGUAGCGGUGAAAUGCGUAGAUAUCUGGAGGAACACCGGUGGCGAAGGCGGCAUCCUGGACCAAUUCUGACGCUGAGGAGCGAAAGCCAGGGGAGCAAACGGG